rnacentral:rRNA from 1 species
AUUGAACGCUGGCGGCAGGCCUAACACAUGCAAGUCGAGCGAGCGGCGGACGGGUGAGUAAUGUAUGGGGAUCUGCCCGAUGGAGGGGGAUAACUACUGGAAACGGUGGCUAAUACCGCAUACUAUCAGAUGAACCCAUAUUGGAUUAGCUAGUAGGUGGGGUAAAGGCUCACCAAGGCGACGAUCUCUAGCUGGUCUGAGAGGAUGAGCAGCCACCCUGGGACUGAGACACGGCCCAGACUCCUACGGGAGGUAGCAGUGGGGAAUAUUGUACAAUGGGCGGAAGCCUGAUGCAGCCAUGCCGCGUGAAUGAAGAAGGCCUUAGGGUUGUAAAGUUCUGUCAGCGGGGAGGCGGUUCCCGAAGAAGAAGCACCGGCUAACUCCGUGCCAGCAGCCGCGGUAAAAC